AUAUAGUCUUUUUUUAAAGACACACUAUAGUUUCCAUCAAUUUUUUU
rfam:Caenorhabditis elegans chromosome III